rnacentral:rRNA from 1 species
CGUAGGGUGCGAGCGUUAUCCGGAAUCAUUGGGCGUAAAGAGCUCGUAGGCGGUUCAGCAAGUCGGCUGUGAAAGUCCGAGGCUCAACCUCGGAAUUGCAGUCGAUACUGCUGUGACUCGAGUCCGGUAGAGGAGAAUGGAAUUCUCGGUGUAGCGGUGAAAUGCGCAGAUAUCGAGAGGAACACCAGUAGCGAAGGCGGUUCUCUGGGCCGGCACUGACGCUGAGGAGCGAAAGCGUGGGGAGCAAACAGGAUUAGAUACCCUGGUAGUCCACGCUGUAAACGUUGGAUACUAGGUGUGGCGGUCUUACCAACGACUGCCGUGCCGAAGCUAACGCAUUAAGUAUCCCGCCUGGGGAGUACGGCCGCAAGGCUA